UACAGGGGGUGCAAACGUUGCUCGGAAUUAUUGGGCGUAAAGCGCGCGUAGGCGGCUAUCUAAGUCGGAUGUGAAAGCCCCUGGCUUAACUGGGGAAGUGCACCCGAAACUGGGUAGCUAGAGUGCGAAAGAGGGUCGCGGAAUUCCCGGUGUAGAGGUGAAAUUCGUAGAUAUCGGGAGGAACACCGGUGGCGAAGGCGGCGACCUGGGUCGACACUGACGCUGAGGCGCGAAAGCGUGGGGAGCAAACAGG
rnacentral:rRNA from 1 species